rfam:Myotis davidii contig144319, whole genome shotgun sequence.
GGUGGUUCUCGGGUGAUGCACUCUGGAAUCGGGCUCUCUGCUCUCUGCUUCUGGUUGCAUCACCCAAGAAUCACA